rnacentral:rRNA from 1 species
AACGGCCAUACCAUGCUGAAUAUACCGGUUCUCGUUAGAUCACCGAAGUCAAACAUCAUUGGGCGCGGUCAGUACUUGGGUGGGUGACCACCUGGGAACACCGUGUGCCGUU